UACAGAGGGUGCGAGCGUUGUUCGGAAUUACUGGGCGUAAAGGGUGCGCAGGCGGUCUCGUAAGCUGGGUGUGAAAGCCCCGGGCUUAACCUGGGAAUGGCAUUCAGGACUGCGAGGCUUUGAGUGUGGCAGAGGGAGGUGGAAUUCCACGUGUAGCAGUGAAAUGCGUAGAGAUGUGGAGGAACACCGAUGGCGAAGGCAGCCUCCUGGGCCAGCACUGACGCUCAUGCACGAAAGCGUGGGGAGCAAACAGG
rnacentral:rRNA from 1 species